rnacentral:rRNA from 1 species
CCCUUAGAUGUUCUGGGCCGCACGCGCGCUACACUGAUGCAUUCAACAAGUUCUACCUUGGCCGAGAGGCCUGGGAAAUCUUUCAAAUAUGUAUCGUGAUAGGGAUAGAUUAUUGCAAUUAUUAAUCUUGAACGAGGAAUUCCUAGUAAGCGCAAGUCAACAGCUUGCGUUGAUUACGUCCCUGCCCUUUGUACACACCGCCCGUCGCUACUACUGAUUGGAUGUUUAAGCGAGGUUCUCGAACUGCUAGCGACUUAGCUUCGGUGAGGUCGCAGUGUGGGAAGUGAACCUAGCUUUGGUGUCUAGAGGAAGUAAAAGUCGUAACA